CGAGUCCCUCAGAGCUGGGAUGAGCACCCUCUGCAACUAUACCCCAUUCCCCAACCAUCAGCCCCUACAGCCAUUGGACCCUAGGGUAGCGGAAGUAGUGUUAGGAGCUCCAGGGAAGGGCGGAAGAAGGGCUGGGAAGGCAGCCAGGAGGCCCUGAACAUGCCCUCCUCCUGUGCCCUACCACCCAGAAGACCGGAAGCUCUUUGUGGGGAUGCUAGGGAAGCAGCAGACAGAUGAGGACGUCCGGAAGAUGUUUGAGCCCUUCGGGACCAUCGACGAGUGCACUGUGCUCCGGGGGCCAGAUGGCACCAGCAAAGGCUGCGCCUUCGUGAAGUUCCAGACCCACGCUGAGGCCCAGGCGGCCAUCAACACCCUUCACAGCAGCCGGACCCUGCCAGGUGCCUCGUCCAGCCUGGUGGUGAAGUUUGCUGACACCGAGAAGGAGCGAGGUCUCCGCCGCAUGCAGCAGGUGGCCACCCAGUUGGGCAUGUUCAGCCCCAUCGCCCUCCAGUUUGGAGCCUACAGCGCCUACACCCAGGCCCUGAUGCAGCAGCAGGCGGCCCUGGUAGCGGCUCACAGUGCCUACCUCAGCCCCAUGGCCACCAUGGCUGCCGUGCAGAUGCAGCACAUGGCUGCCAUCAAUGCCAAUGGCCUCAUCGCCACCCCCAUCACCCCAUCCUCAG
rnacentral:sRNA from 1 species